UACGAAGGGGGCUAGCGUUGCUCGGAAUCACUGGGCGUAAAGCGCACGUAGGCGGAUCUUUAAGUCAGGGGUGAAAUCCUGGAGCUCAACUCCAGAACUGCCUUUGAUACUGGGGAUCUCGAGUCCGGAAGAGGUGAGUGGAACUCCGAGUGUAGAGGUGAAAUUCGUAGAUAUUCGGAAGAACACCAGUGGCGAAGGCGGCUCAC
rnacentral:rRNA from 1 species